UACAGAGGGGGCAAGCGUUGUUCGGAAUUACUGGGCGUAAAGGGCGCGUAGGCGGCCUGUUAAGUCGAACGUGAAAUCCCCGGGCUCAACCCGGGAACUGCGUCCGAUACUGGCAGGCUUGAAUCCGGGAGAGGGAUGUGGAAUUCCAGGUGUAGCGGUGAAAUGCGUAGAUAUAUGGAAGAACAUCGAUGGCGAAGGCAGCCCCCUGGGUUAACACUGACGCUCAUGCACGAAAGCGUGGGGAGCAAACAGG
rnacentral:rRNA from 1 species